CUCGGCGCGUCACAGCAGCGAUGACGAGUCUAGAGACGACGGUGACAUGGGAAUGACGGCGACGAAGCUUGCUCGAUGGUGGUACGAAAGCAUGACUCUUUCUCCCCUCGGUAGUCACUGAAUGAUAAUGGCAAUCCUUAUGGCUCCAAUGGCGUCCCUCUCUCUCAAUGUCUCCUCUCUCUCCUUCUCGGUUUUGAUGUCCUAGCGGUGAUACAACGGCGGCAAUGGUGGCAGUGAUGUGAUAAACCCCAAUUUUGUGGUUUAUCUUGUGCUUAAUUUAGGGUAUUUUAUCACAUUUUCUCACAUUUAUUCAAUGAAAUAGCA
rnacentral:lncRNA from 1 species